AAACCAACCGGGAUUGCCUCAGUAGCGGCGAGUGAAGCGGCAAGAGCUCAAAUUUGAAAUCUAGCACCGCUGGUGCUCGAGUUGUAAUUUGUAGAGUGGAUCCUUGGGGCCGUUCCUUGCCUAUGUUCCUUGGAACAGGACGUCAUGGAGGGUGAGAACCCCGUGUGGCGAGGGGCGCGGCUCCGUGUAAGGGCUGCUCGAAGAGUCGAGUUGUUUGGGAAUGCAGCUCUAAGUGGGUGGUAAAUUCCAUCUAAAGCUAAAUACAGGCGAGAGACCGAUAGCGAACAAGUACAGUGAUGGAAAGAUGAAAAGAACUUUGAAAAGAGAGUGAAAAAGUACGUGAAAUUGUUGAAAGGGAAGGGCAUUUGAUCAGACAUGGUGUUUUGCGCCCCCUGCUCCUUGUGGGCGGGGGAUCCUCGCAGCUCACUGGGCCAGCAUCAGUUUUGGCGGCUGGAUAAAACCGGAGGAAUGUGGCUUCUCUCGGGAAGUGUUAUAGCCUGCGGGAAUGCGCCAGCCGGGACUGAGGAACGCGACUUUUGUCAAGGAUGCUGGCAUAAUGGUUAUAUGCCGC
rnacentral:rRNA from 1 species